ACCACAGGGAUUGCCUUAGUAGCGGCGAGUGAAGCGGCAAAAGCUCAAAUUUGAAAUCUGGUACUUUCAGUAUCCGAGUUUGUAAUUUGUAGAAGCAACUUUGGUGAUGGUCUUUGCAUAAGUUCCUUGGAAUAGGACGUCAUAGAGGGUGAGAAUCCCGAUAUGGUGAAGAACCCACACUAUGUAAAGUGCUUUCGAAGAGUCGAGUUGUUUGGGAAUGCAGCUCAAAGUGGGUGGUAAAUUCCAUCUAAAGCUAAAUAUUGGCGAGAGACCGAUAGCGAACAAGUACUGUGAAGGAAAGAUGAAAAGAACUUUGAAAAGAGAGUGAAAAAGUUCGUGAAAUUGUUGAAAGGGAAGGGAUCUAAAUCAGACAUGGUAUUUUGUGAUCAACAGUCUUUCGGGAUUGUGCACUCGCAUUUUACUAGGCCAGCAUCGGUUAGAAGGGGGUAAAAAAGAUUUUGGAAUGUGGCUCCUCGGAGUUUAUAGCCAAAGUUAAUUGCCCCAUUUCUGACCGAGGACCGCGUCUUUUGACUAGGAUGC
rnacentral:rRNA from 1 species